CCUACGGGAGGCAGCAGUGGGGAAUUUUGGACAAUGGGCGCAAGCCUGAUCCAGCCAUGCCGCGUGUGGGAAGAAGGCCUUCGGGUUGUAAACCACUUUUGUCAGGGAAGAAACGGCUCUUACUAAUAUUAGGGGCUAAUGACGGUACCUGAAGAAUAAGCACCGGCUAACUACGUGCCAGCAGCCGCGGUAAUACGUAGGGUGCAAGCGUUAAUCGGAAUUACUGGGCGUAAAGCGUGCGCAGGCGGCUUUGCAAGACAGAUGUGAAAUCCCCGGGCUCAACCUGGGAACUGCAUUUGUGACUGCAUGGCUAGAGUACGGUAGAGGGGGAUGGAAUUCCGCGUGUAGCAGUGAAAUGCGUAGAUAUGCGGAGGAACACCGAUGGCGAAGGCAAUCCCCUGGACCUGUACUGACGCUCAUGCACGAAAGCGUGGGGAGCAAACAGGAUUAGAUACCCUGGUAGUCCACGCCCUAAACGAUGUCAACUGGUUGUUGGACGGCUUGCUGUUCAGUAACGAAGCUAACGCGUGAAGUUGACCGCCUGGGGAGUACGGCCGCAAGGUUGAAACUUAAUGAAUUGACGG
rnacentral:rRNA from 1 species